rnacentral:rRNA from 1 species
CAAUAGCGUAUAUUAAAGUUGUUGCAGUUAAAAAGCUCGUAGUUGAAUUUUUGCUUGCCGCCGAUGUCGGAACUUCCGUACGUUCGGCGGCGUGCAUCCUUGGGUGGAACCUGUGUGGCAUUAGGUUGUCGUGCAGGGGAUGCUCAUCGUUUACUGUGAAAAAAUUAGAGUGUUCAAAGCAGGCUUACGCCGUUGAAUAUAUUAGCAUGGAAUAAUAAGAUAGGACCUUGGUACUAUUUUGUUGGUUUGCGCACCGAGGUAAUGAUUAACAGGGACAGUUGGGGGUAUCCGUAUUCCAUUGUCAGAGGUGAAAUUCUUGGAUUUCUGGAAGACGAACUACUGCGAAAGCAUUUACCAAGGAUGUUUUCAUUA